ACUUAGAAACCCAGAGCAUUUUAACCCUCAGUAGUGAGCACACAGAGAUAUUCCUUCAGCAUACCAUACUGCCAUAGAGUGAUGGAGGAAUGACACCAGUAAUUUGAGACCUCUUCAGUGGCUCUGUGAUACAAAGUUAAAACCAGGUCUGCUGCAGUUUGCGGGAGGUCCACUCCAGACCCUGUUUGCCUGGGUGUCACCAGUGGAGGCUGCAGAACAGAAAGGAUUGCCACCUGCUCCUUCCUCUGGAAGCUUCAUCCCAGAGGGACACUGGCCUGAUGCCAGCCACAGCUCUCCUGUACAAGGUGUCUGUCUACUCCUGUUUGGUGGUAUCUCCCAGUUAGGAGUCAUGGGUGUCAGGGACCUACUUGAGCAGGUAGUCUGUCCCUUAGCAGAGCUGGAGCACUGUGCUGGGAGAAUCCUUCUUGACAGAUGCUGCUCUCUUCAGAGAUGGCAGGCAAGAAUAUUUAAGUAUGCUGUUGCUGGGCACAUAGCCAGCCCUUUCCCCAUGUGCUCUUUUUCCACGGAGAUGGGAGUUUGUCUAUAAUCCCUUGAAUGGGGCUACUGCCUUUCUUUCAGAGAUGCCCUCCCUAGUGAGGAGGAAUCUAGAGAGUCAGUCUGGCCACAGCCGCUUUGACAUGCUUUGGUGAAUUCUGCCCAGUAUGAACUUCCUAGCCUCCUUAGCACUGUCAGGGGAAAACUGUCUACUCCAUCCUCAGUAAUGGUGGAUGCCUCUUCCCCAACCAAGCCUGAUCAUCCCAGGUUGACUUCAUGCUGCUCUGUUGGCAGCAAGAAUUUCAAGCCAGUGGUUCUUAGGGUGCUGACUCCAUGGGAGUGGGACCCACUGAGCAAGACCACUUGGCUCUCUGGCUUUAGCCCUCUUUCCAGGGGAGUAAAUGGUUCUCUCACUGGGGUUCCAGGUUCCACUGGGAAAAACAAACAGACAGACAAACAAACAGCAACAACAAAAACAAAAAAGCUGAAGCUAGCUUGGUGUCUACAGCCACCCAGUUUUAUGCUUGAAACCGAGGGCCCUGGUGGUGUAAGCACACAAGGGAAUUUUCUGCUCUCUAGAUUGAAGAUCCCAUGGGAAAACUGUAGUAUCUGGGCCAGGUAGCACAGUGUUUCAUGGCUUCCUUGGUAGGGCAGAGAUUGGUUCCUGGCUUCUUGUACUUCUCUGGUGAGAUAAUGCCCUCUCUUGCUUUCUGCUCACUGUCCAUAGGCUUCGCCCACUGCCUAAACAUUCCCAAUGAGAUUAACUGGGUACCUCCUUUGUAAAUGUAGAGAUUAUCCAUUCACUUUCUGCAUUGGUCUCAAUGGAAGCAGCAAACUGGAGCUGUUCCUAUGUGGCCAUCUUGUCAGAUCUCCCUGUAAUUCUUGUCUUAUUAAAUUGUCUUAACAGAAUUAUCCACUGACAAUGUCAAUGUAUCAGAAAUAUAUGAGUUUAUUUAUUUGUUAAUUUUUCAUUCAACUACAUAUUUCUUUGUGUACACACUUUGAGUAGUUCUUCAUUUAAAUAAUUGUAGUUAUUUAGUAAUACUUAGUAAUAUUAGCAGUAAAGAAAUAUGAACAAGAGUUUCUUUUCUUCUCAACAAUUUUGGCUAACCAGACAUCAAUAUAAAUUUUAUAAGAUAAUUUUUUAGUUCUGCAAUGGAGAAACAAAUUAGAGAUUGACAGAUUUAUAUAAAAUUUAAAAUAAAAAUUUUCAAUUCUGCACAGAAAAGUACAGCAAUAUGCUAGAAAAAUAUUAAGUUUGCAAAUAAAUUUGAAAAAAGAUUUGCACUUUAAACAUGUUAAAUCUUAGAAUUUGGGAUCCAAAUACAUUGUUCUACAUUUAGUUCUUUUUUAUACUUCAUAUAAUAUUUUGUACUUUUAGUAUACAAUUAUCACAACAUGUAUACAUUUUUAAUAUUGAUUUUAUUAUUUUUGUGUUAUUCUAAAUAAAAUUAUCUCUAUAGUUUUGUUUCCAUAUUGUAGAUUACUAGAGUUUAGAAACAUUUCAUUUAGGUGUUGAUUUUUAAUACUUGUAUCUAUGCAUUAAAAUAUGCAAAAUUUAUAUGAACGUAAUUUAUAUUACUUUUUACAUUUUUUUCUAAUGACUUAGGCUAGAAGUUCCAAGGCAAAGUUAAGUGAAAGUAAAAAAAACAACGCAUCCUCAUUCCACAUCUUAUUUAAAAGUAAGCUUCCACUUAGCACUACUGAAGAAAAGAAUACCUGUGAAUUAUAGUGCUCUCUAUGAGAGAGGAAAUUUUCCUUUCAUUUCUAGUUUAUUUACUUUUAAUAAUAAAUGUUAUAUUUUUUGAAAAUGUUUGUUGUAUAAGCUAUGAUUAUACUGUUCCUUAUUAUAUUCUUAUUCUGCAUUGCAUUUAUUGGUUUUAUAACUAAUUUGUUAUAAAUUAUUUAGGUACGUGACUCUUUUGGAAGGUAUGUAAGCCUUGAGGUGUUGAUGGAUUUUAAUUGUUAAGCAUCCAAUGUGAUUCUUUAUUGACAAAAUGUAUCUGGGUAUGCAUUUAUUAACUCUGCAUUUUAUAUGUUAUUUAUUUAUUUAAUUUUUGCUAAGUUCAGAGAAUAGAGUAUACAUGCAGGUGUGUUACAUGGGUAUGUUGUGUACUAUUGAGUUUUGGCCUUUAGUGUGCCCAUCACUCAAUUACUAAAUGUUGUUUUGAAUACUUUUUAACUCCCACUUUCCUUCUGUACUCUCCUUUUUUGAUGUCUCUAGUGUUUAUUAUAUCCCUCUAUAUGGCCAUGUGUACUCAUCGUUCACCUUCCACUUACAUGUAAAAACAUAUGGUAAGUGAUUUUCUGAUUUUGAGUUAUUUUACUAAAGAUAAUUGUUUUUAGCUCUGUGGAUGUGAUUGCAAAAACUGUAACAUUAUUGUAAAUAUUUAUGGUUAUGCAGUAUUAAAUCAUGUAUAGACACCACAUUUUCAUAUUUUCAAUUCAAUCAUACUUUGAUGGAAACUUGGGUUAA